CCCGGAAGCUGGCGUCGUGCAGGAACCCUCACCCGCCCGAGCGGGGCCCUGGGCCUCCGGGUCACUCUCUGUGGCGGGGUCUGGCUGCGCGUCAGACGGCCUCCUCCAAUGCCCGCAGUUGCUGUCGCCCCCAGGCCUGGACCGGGGAGUGAGGGGUGGGCCUGACCGGCCCCUGAGCUCCCGUCAGCCCCCCACGCGAGCCCGUCCUGUGCUGGGGGCAGGGAGAUGGGCCGGUGGGAGAGGAGACCGCAUCCAGCCCUCCCUGGCCACCUGCAGGGUCCCCACCGUGGCGGCUGCUUUACUGCUAACUCCUCCCGGGGACCCCAAGUCCCCAUCGCUCUCGGGGGUCCCCCUCAUCCGAACCGCCUCGGAGGAGGGCCGCAUCUCACGCGGAGCACCCCUCCACGCCUGUGACCCUGGACUUGCUCUCCCGCCCCCGCCCGGGCCUCAGGGCUCAGGAGGCCGUGAUGAAGCCAGCAGGUGAACUGCACCCUGGAGCCUCCGACGGGGCGGCCACGGGCAGCGAAGAACCCGGAAAAACAGUACCCUUCUGAGGUUAAUCCGCGUUGAUAGAAGCAGGUGUGGUUCAUCUGGAAUCUGUUGGUGUGAACUGCGCGGCGGCGUCCCCCACCAGGCACCACAGGUGAUUCAUUCGUUUCCCUGAAAAGGCGCCUGGAUGCUGUUUCUAGCUCCCGUUAUCCCCAGCGAUGCUGCACCUGCCCCAGGACACACGCUAGGGUGGAACCGCCGGGCAUGGAGCAGGCCCGGCGGGUGGUGUGGGGGCCGCAUCUCAUGGAGGUCUCCGUCCACGUUGCCCCCAUUGUGACCGCAGCGGGCGCCUCUUGGUAGCAGCCACCGGCCUCUUCUGGGACUCGCCGGAGGGUUUCCACGUCGCCCGCUCCGACGGGGCUGUUCAUCUCCCCUUGAUCUGUGGGACUCCCCGUCCGUCUCAGAUCCCAUGGCUUGUCUCUGACACAAGACGCCAACGAAGAUCGGCAUUUCUGCAACCUCUGGCUUCCAGGAAGGCUGCCUCCCUCCCCAACUUCCUCUGAUCAUCGUGCGGCUGAGGAACAGAUGGGGAACCAGGUGCACAGAGAGGUAUGGCCACCUUCACGGGGUCACACAGGCUGAGAAAUGAUAUGGUGGGUGAUGCAGAUGAGGGUCCAGGGUGCCUGCCCUGGGGAGCAUGAUGAGCAGAUGGCGGUGCAGCCACACGUGGAGGACUCAGCUCCCAGAGCAAUAAAGGGACACCUACGCCAUGCAUGAGGCUGGGAGACUGUGCAGGGGGAAGAAGUCACUCGCCAGGAGCCCAGGUGUGUGGAAUUCUGGAACAGACUAGAUCUACCCUGGACUAACCUGGACUGGAACUAACAGACUAGAACUAACUAGAACGAAUUCUAGAACUAACCUACGGUGGAAAACAUCAGAAUGGCAGUGGCUUCUGGGGGCCAGAGGUAGGAAGGCACUGGGCAGGGGUAUGCAGCAACAUUUUGGGGGCAUUGUCUUUUUUAUUUUUCAGAGGAAGGGUCUUGCUCUGUUGCCCAGGCUGGAGUGCAGUGGCUCAAUCAUGGCUCACUGCAGUCUUGACCUCCUGGGUUCAAGCCAUCCUCCCACCUCAGCCUCCUGAAUAGCUGGGACCACAGGCAUGUGCUGCUACACCUGGCUCAUUUUUUUAUUUUUGUAGAGAUGGGGCCUCCCUGCAUUGCCCAGGCUGGUCUUCAACUCCUGGGCUCCAGUGAUCCUCCCACCUCUGCCUCCCAAAGUGUUGGAAUUAUAGGCGUGAGCCACCGCACCCGGCCUGAUGUCUGUCUCUUGAUAAGGGUUUGGGCUGCAGAAGUGGUCCGUUAGUCAGAGCAUUCAGUGGCUCCUUCAGAGUUAUACAUUUCAUGGUAUGUGAAUUUUACUCAAAGCAAUAAAAAAUCUGAAACGAAUAUUGAACUCUAGAUCAUGACAUGCAGUCGGCCGGUUAAGGGGGAGAGAGUACUGGUGCCUGCAACUUGGAAAGAGAUUGAUUAUGGGUGGGCAGAGGGACAGAGAAACAAGAUGAAGCGGGUCUAGCGAAACGUCAGUUGUGGAAUAACAGGUGAUAGCAUCUGGGUGCUCACUGUGAAAUCAUCUCAACUUUUCCAGAUGUUUGAAACAUUUCAAAGUUCAAUAUGAAAAGCAAUGAAAAAGAAUCUGGGCUUUGCAGACAAACUGCUGGGAGGUGGCCACGGCCCAGUAUCUGUGUGGUCCUGGGUGGGUUUCUCAGCCUCACGGUGCCUCAGGGUCCUGACUGUUAAGUGUGGGUGGUAAUAGCACCGCUGCCCACGGCGUGGGUGAAUUAACACAGGCAGGGCACUUAGACAGUGCCUGGCACACAGCAGGUGCUUAAUAAAUGUGCCCUUUGUUGAUGUUAUUCCUCAGCCCUGAAAGUAUCAGCCACGUGUCCUCCAGCUACUCAGAGAUGCUGAGGAACAGCUGGGAUUUGCACUGGGUUCACGUGCAGGGGACCCCAAAGAGCCAAAACAAGCUUGAAAAGGAAAGAACAAAGUGGGAAGACUCAGCUGGGUGCAGUGGCUCAUGCUUGUAAUCUCAGCAUUUUGGGAAGCCAAGGCAGGAGGAUCACUUAAGUCCAGGAGUUCAAGACCAACCUGGGCAACAUAGCAAGACUCCAUCUCUACAAAAAAAAAUUUUAAAUUAGCUGGAUGUGGUGGCAUAUGCCUGUAGUCCCAGCUACUCAGGAGACUAGGGUGGGAGGAUCGCUUGAGCCUAGGAGUUCAAGGCUGCAGUGAGCUAUGAUUGCACCACUGCAUUCUAGCCUGGGCAACAGAGCAAGACUCUGUUUCUAGAAAAAAAAAAAAGUGGGAAGACUCACACUUCCUAUUGUGAAAACUUCCUACGGUAAUGAGGACAGUGUGGUACUGUGGUAAGGACAGAUAUGAACAGCAAUGGGCUAGAACUGAGAGUCCAGAAAUAAACCCUUGUAUUUUUACUCUAUUUAUUUCCAAUAAGGGAGCCAAGACAAUUUGAUGGGGCUAGGGGAAGAGGAGACCUUUGACACAUAGUGCUGGGUCAAGUAGUCACAUGCAAGAGAAUGAAGAUGGACCCUUACCUCACACCAUAUACAAACAUCAACUCAAGAUGCAUCCAAGGCUAGGUGUGGUGGCUCACACCUGUAAUCCCAGCACUUUGGGAGGCCAAGGCAGGUGGAUUACCUGAGGUCAGGAGUUCAAGACCAGCCUGGCCAACAUGGUGAAACCCUGCCUCUACUAAAAACACACACACACACAAAAUUAGCUGGGC
rnacentral:lncRNA from 10 species